rnacentral:rRNA from 1 species
GUCCACGCCGUAAACGAUGGGCGCUAGGUGUGGGAGGUGUCGACUCCUUCCGUGCCGAAGCUAACGCAUUAAGCGCCCCGCCUGGGGAGUACGGCCGCAAGGCUAAAACUCAAAGGAAUUGACGGGGGCCCGCACAAGCAGCGGAGCAUGUGGUUUAAUUGGAUGCGACGCCAAGAACCUUACCAAGGUUUAACUAUGUCGAGAAAACCGGAGAAAUUCGGUCCUCCUUCGGGACUCGUCAAUAGGUGGUGCAUGGCUGUCGU